GGACUACAAGGGUUUCUAAUCCUGUUUGCUCCCCUAGCUUUCGUUCCUCAGCGUCAGUAGUGAUCCAGCUCGCCGCUUUCGCCACGGGUGUUCCUGCAGAUAUCUACGCAUUUCACCGCUACACCUGCAAUUCCACGAGCCUCUCUCACACUCAAGCACAGCAGUUUCGGAAGCAGUCUCUGGGUUGAGCCCAGAGAUUUCACUCCCGACUUGCCACACCGCCUACGAACCCUUUACACCCAGUAAUUCCGAACAACGCUGGCCCCCUACGUCUUACCGCGGCUGCUGGCAC
rnacentral:rRNA from 1 species